UGCUUAAGUAUUGGUUUAGACGUAGGUAAGCUGACGAAUAAAUGUAAAUUGAAAGUGCAUUAAUUAAUAAAAAUAAAUAUCUUUAACGCUAUUUGUUUAAUGUGAUCCGCAUCCUGAUGAGCUAUUUCCUAUCCAACUGUGUAACUAGCAGUUAUCAUCAGAUAGAGACAGACAUUCAAGACAUCUAAUUUAACGAAGAAAUGAGGACUGUGACCAAUCUGAUGUCUAUGAUUUGUGUGGCUUGCAUCAUCACAGGAUGUAAAGAAUGUAUUGGAGAAGUCGCUUCUGCUAAAAUGACACUGAAUAGCGAGACAUUUAAAGUUUUAGCGAAGAAGGAUGAGCUCGAGAAUUUUUUGCUUAGGUAUUACUUAGCGUUAAAUACAUAAAAAUGUAAUACAUUUUAUUAAAAAAAAACGCAUCAAGAAAUGCAACAAGGUUAAUACUGAAAUGUAAAUGAGAUGCGAACAAAUUAAACGGCAUGUUAUGAAAUCAGAAAA
rnacentral:sRNA from 1 species